CUGUGAUAGCUUUUCACUUGAAACCGAAAAUUGUUAUUCACUACCAAAGUCUUUUCAAGGAAUAGCAAUCUCCAUAACUCUAAUUUGAAAUUUGACACAGUUAUGCACAUUUUUAACUUUUUUGUUAAAUUUUAAGAUAAAGUCAAUUAUCUCUCAUACUUUGAAAGCUUUUGACUUGAAACUUAAAAUAGUAAUUUACUACUUAACCAGGAGAAACAAUUCCAAUUACUCUGAUUUGAAUUUGAUUUUGAGUUAUACCCCUUUUAAUUCUUUUUUGUUUAAUGUUUUAAAACGUUUUAAUUGACAAAGAUCUAAUUCAGAAUCAAGUACUAAGAAAAGUCGAGCGUGCCGUCUUACGGACAGCUCAACAACGAGACAUAACUCUUUCCUCCUUAUUUGUUUAAUUAUCUCCCUAUAUUUGAUAUCUGUCCAUAUUCGUAUCGAUUAGAACUCAUGAUUUAGAUUUGAAACCAAAAUGGCACUUAUGAUACGUUUCACGUAAUACUUUUUCAAGUGAAAAUGUGCGACGCACACGAAUCAUUACCCUACGUUUUGACUUAUGUCCCUUUGGUAAGUUUUACUGUCCGGGGCAUUACACUACAACUGAUGUAGGGAAUUUACGUUGAUAGUAUACAAUGACCGAGGACAUUGAGAUAAGUGCAGCGUACAAGGACAUAACUUAUACCAUGCUUUUUUUAAGGAUAUCUCCGUAUAUUAAUUUCUUUUAUAUAGGACAAAAAUCUCUAAAUAUAUAGACUAUAUAUAUUAAGUAAUAUAUACCUUAAAAUAAUUUGCUAAUUUUUACAUGCCUAUUUUGCAAAAAAAAAACGGGACAUAAUAUGGAAUGCUAUUAUCCGCCCAUCUGUCCGUCUUUUAACAUUGUCUGUAAGUAACAAAGUGUAGGCAUUUAUCUAGAGCAUUUGAUUUUCAAGGGAAAUAAUUGUGGUCUGACUGUAUUAUUUUGAAAAUCACAGUUGAGAUUUUUUUAUGUGUGCACCGGUACAGUUUUGCGGGGAAGCGGAAGUUGCCAUGGAAUUUUGUCUUCUUCUAAAAACAAGUGUCUGAUACAUGUAGUUGCAGUCUGUCUUUGGAAGCUGUAGAAAUAACAAGAAAGAGGCUGACAUAAUGUUUUGGUAGGGAAAAGUUUGAGUAUGUACAUAUACAGUUGUUUGACCUGUCUUACCCUGUGGCAGUCCAAGAAGAUGUUACCAUUAUGAAAAAUGCAGGAGAACUUGAAGACAAUGGUUAGUGCAGAAGGGACAUAAAAGUUAUGACAAAAGUAACAGAUAUAAAUAAGUGCUACAAGUGUGUUGUCAUGUGAAAUGGAAUUUACCCCAACUGUGCUGCAAGAUGUAUAUUUCAACUGCAAGACAGCCAUGCACCAGCUGUAAACUGAGAUGGACCCAUAUAAUAAAUAUGUUGACUUUUCUAUGUAUUAUCAUCUGUACAGAAUGUGUUCAUGACAAGACUGUAUACAUAUAUUGUUAAAUCAUUUUUUAUUUCCAUUAUUGCAUGCAUGUAAGAAGCAAGCAUUUAACAAUUGCAUUCAUAGAAGUGUUAAAAUGUGAUCAAUCUAAUUUAAAGAAACACAUUUAAUUGGACUUUUUAAAUUUCAUAAUAUUUGUGGUGGAGACUGACCCAGUCAUUCAGCAACUUAUACUGUCUGUGUGUCAUUUCUUGUAUGUUAUAGUUUUCUUAAUAAUACAUUAAAUGUCAAAGUUAUGGUAAGAUGAACUCAUUCAUCACUUGUAGAUUAAUGUUAAAGCAGUUCAACAUUUUACCAUAAGUUAACUAAUAUUCUGUUUAACCAGAGUUGUCACAUAUUUUCAUAUAAAUAUUUGUAUAAUACAGUCUAAUCUAAUCUACAUAUGAUGUUCCACAAUUUUUUAGUUAUAUUUUAUGUUGAUAUUUUAUGUUGUUUUCAUGUCUCAACAUAUAAUUACUAACAUCAAAGAAACUUAAGUAUUUUACAAUUUGGUUGGUAUAAAUGGUUGUUUUGUUUAUAUAUUUUUUUUUUCCAUCCAGGAGAAUAAAGAAAUAUACAUUUCAAAAUAUCUCAUCAUUCCAGAUAAGUACACUACAUAAUCAAGAUAAAAGAAAUAAGAACAAAAUAUGUUGGUGGAAUUUUAUUUUCAAAAAUUUGAUAUACAGUCUUUGUAGUAUUUACUUCUUUAGAUAUGUUGGACUGAAAUGGGAAUAACAACAUACUUUAAAUUUUUGUAGUCAUAAGUUAAUAUGGGAAUUAUUAACUUAACUUAAAAAGAUUUUAUCUCACUGUUAUGCCAUCUGAGCUUUAAUAUUUUUCAACAUUGUCAUUGGCAACAAGGCUCAAAAUUAUUUGUUGUGUAUACCUUGCAUUCAUGUGUGAUAAAUGCUUUUAUGGUAUUCUUUAAUAUAAUUUAUGCUUUUCAUCUUACCAUGGAUUAAAAAAAUAUAAAUUUAUUUGUCUGAAAAUUAAGGUAAAAAUACUGACUGAUUAAAUUGCAAUAUAAGAAAGCUUAUUUGAGAUAAAGGGAGGUAACUCCAUAAAAAAAUAUGUAGAAUGUAGAUGAUAAAUGUAAUGAAGGGAGGUAAUAAAAUAUUGUGAAGUUACUAGUCUUCAUUUCUUUGAUGAGCUAAUUAAUUGUUUUACAUUUUGGUUUAUUAACUACAAGUAUGACCUGUGUACCUGUCCUGAAGGAAAAUAAAAUAGGUUGUUUGA